AGUUAUUCACCAUGACAUUUUAACUCUCACUGAAAUAAAAGUCAGCUUGUGAGUGGAAAGCCCAAAACGGAUUUUGGUUCCCUUUAUUCAUACUUGAUAUACAUUGAUUUGUCUGGAUAUUUUUAUAUGUCUUUCUCAAACUUUAAGUUUCAGCAAACCCACUACAUCUGAAAGGUCCCACAGGGAAGAACACUGUCGGAUAAAUAGCAAUUAAUGAAUACACACUCUGCUUACUGCUGUUAUGGACAAGGAGACAAACCAAACAGGAUCUGGACACCUUUGUUCAAGACAGAAGUUUUCCUUCUUGGCUAUGGUGGAUGUGUCUAUAGCGACUCAGUAGUUUCAGAAUCAGCUUUUGGUUGUAAUCAGGCCUCCUGUGGGAAGUUGGAGCCCCAGGGAUCUACAAUCCACCUCCUGAAGAUGUGCUGUUAA
rnacentral:lncRNA from 1 species